GACGAACGCUGACGGUGUGCUUUGGACAUGCAAGUCGAACGAGAAAGCCCUUCGGGGUGAGUAAAGUGGCGAACGGGUGAGUAACACGUGGGUAACCUGCCCCUCGCAGAGGGAUAACUGGGGGAAACCCCAGCUAAUACCUCGUACGCUUGCCGGGUCGCAUGGCUCGGCAAGGAAAGGUAGCUUCGGCCAUCCGGCGAGGGAUGGGCCCGCGGUCCAUUAGCUAGUUGGUGGGGUAACGGCCCACCAAGGCGACGAUGGAUAGCUGGUCCGAGAGGAUGAUCAGCCACACUGGGACUGAGACACGGCCCAGACUCCUACGGGAGGCAGCAGUCGGGAAUCUUGCGCAAUGGGCGAAAGCCUGACGCAGCAACACCGUGUGGGCGACGAAGGCCUUCGGGUCGUAAAGCCCUGUUGUUGGGGACGAAGGACGAAGGGUUAAUAGCCCCUAGUCUGACGGUACCCUUCGAGGAAGCCCCGGCUAACUACGUGCCAGCAGCCGCCGUAAGAC
rnacentral:rRNA from 1 species